AGAGCAUUGAUCUGCUGAGUGGACUAAAGAUGGGGGAGCAAGGUAAUUGACUCCGACUCCAUUGGGCCCAUGGUGACGACAUCACUGAGCAAGCCAGGACCAGAGACGACAUAGUGGAGCCUUCAAUUUCCCAAACAGGCUGAGAUCCACCAGAAGGUCCACACAGGGGAGAAAACCCUACAGCUGCCCCCAGUGUGAGAAGAGGUUCUCACAUCAGCACCAGCUGAAGAUGCACCUGAAGAUCCACACAGGAGAAAGGCGAUUUGCCUGUACGCACUACAGGAAAAGGUUCUCAGAGAGGAGCUACCUCAGGAUACACCAGCAGAAAAUGCUCACAUGAAUAGAGUGUAGUGACAUGUAAUGUAGUACUAAUUAGUUUGUAGUUAAUUCUGUUGGUUUUGGAUGUAUGGAACUGGAUGAGGUGAACAGAGGAAAGAAUGAGUAUGAUGAGGCAGAGUAGAUGAUAUGGUGAUGGUUGGUGCGGUGGUGACUUUAAAACAGUAAGAGGUUAAUGGCGGUGAUAGGAGAAAUCUGAGGAUGGAACAGCAACAGCAACAUUGUAGUUACUCCACAAAACUGACUUAAUUUACAGAGUGAAAAGAAGGAAGCCUGU